rnacentral:rRNA from 1 species
GACGAACGCUGGCGGCGUGCUUAACACAUGCAAGUCGAACGGAAAGGCCCUGCUUUUGUGGGGUUCUCGUGUGGCGAACGGGUGAGUAACACGUGAGUAACCUGCCCUUGACUUUGGGAUAACUUCAGGAAACUGGGGCUAAUACCGGAUAGGAGCUCCUGCUGCAUGGUGGGGGUUGGAAAGUUUCGGCGGUUGGGGAUGGACUCGCGGCUUAUCAGCUUGUUGGUGGGGUAGUGGCUUACCAAGGCUUUGACGGGUAGCCGGCCUGAGAGGGUGACCGGCCACAUGGGGACUGAGAUACGGCCCAGACUCCUACGGGAGGCAGCAGUGGGGAAUAUUGCACAAUGGGCGGAAGCCUGAUGCAGCAACGCCGCGUGCGGGAUGACGGCCUUCGGGUUGUAAACCGCUUUCGCCUGUGACGAAGCGUGAGUGACGGUAAUGGGUAAAGAAGCACCGGCUAACUACGUG